rnacentral:rRNA from 1 species
UGGGGAAUUUUGGACAAUUGGGCGAAAGCCUGAUCCAGCAAUGCCGCGUGUGUGAAGAAGGCCUUCGGGUUGUAAAGCACUUUUGUCCGGAAAGAAAUCCUUGGCUCUAAUACAGUCAGGGGAUGACGGUACCGGAAGAAUAAGCACCGGCUAACUACGUGCCAGCAGCCGCGGUAAUACGUAGGGUGCAAGCGUUAAUCGGAAUUACUGGGCGUAAAGCGUGCGCAGGCGGUUUGCUAAGACCGAUGUGAAAUCCCCGGGCUCAACCUGGGAACUGCAUUGGUGACCGGCAGGCUAGAGUAUGGCAGAGGGGGGUUAGAAUUCCACGUGUAGCAGUGAAAUGCGUAGAGAUGUGGAGGAAUACCGAUGGCGAAGGGCAGCCCCAUGGGCCAAUACUGACGCUCAUGCACGAAAGCGUGGGGGAGCAAACAGGAUUA